GGGGUUGUAGCUCAGUGGUAGAGCACUUGCCUAGCAUGUGUGAGGCACUGGGUUCCAUCCCCAGCACCA
rnacentral:tRNA from 1 species